CUUCUUCCGUGGCUAAAUAUUGACAAUGUCUUUACUUACAACAAAUUCUGCGCGUGGGAAGACCUGGUAUAUUUUGUUGAUCUUGGUUGGCACGAGGCAACGAGAGGUUCUCAUGUGAUGGUUGCCGAGUUGCCUUGUUUACGCCGGGCAGGUGGACGACGCUCACCUGUACGCGCUGAGACAAGGUGACCAGCUGAUUAAAGUGUGUGAACUGACAGGCGGUGACGUACGUGAGGGACAGGAAGGAGCAGCGCGUGAUAAGGUUUAUGGGAAUACGUAUGAUAGGGGAGUUGUGUCAGCGUUGAGAGAUCGGAAGAUUCCGACGAGACCAUUACAAGAUUAAGGCGUCGGCAGGUUGGAGGACUUCUGCGAGCAGACAGCCGCGGCGGUACACCGUGCCACCAUAGGUUCUUGGAUUCAUUGGAUCAAGGCUUAUUCAUAAUCAGAUUCAUCAGCUAGUGUCCCCGUGCAGUGGAGAGUGGCGAAGUGAACAACGCAACACCGGCUAGCGUCUGUCACAUGAACACAUCUAUCACACAGGCUUUUUUAUUUCAUGCCUGGUAAUUUACAAAUCUAUCAUAUUACGCGACAGGCCAUAACAAAAACACAAGAAGAAAUGUUCAUUCACAUUGAUAUUUUGCAAUGAAAUAUAUGCAAAGCAUAUGCAAUGUGAUGA